AACGAACGCUGGCGGCAGGCCUAAUACAUGCAAGUCGAACGGCAGCGGGUGUAGCAAUACAUGCCGGCGAGUGGCGCACGGGUGCGUAACGCGUAUGCAAUCUACCUAUAACUGGGGAAUAGCCUUCCGAAAGGAAGAUUAAUACCGCAUAAUAUCACGAAAUGGCAUCAUUUUGUGAUCAAAACUCCGGUGGUUAUAGAUGAGCAUGCGUGACAUUAGCUAGUUGGUGAGGUAACGGCUCACCAAGGCGACGAUGUCUAGGGGGUCUGAGAGGAUGAUCCCCCACACUGGUACUGAGACACGGACCAGACUCCUACGGGAGGCAGCAGUAAGGAAUAUUGGACAAUGGCCGCAAGGCUGAUCCAGCCAUGCCGCGUGCAGGAAGAAGGUGCUAUGCAUUGUAAACUGCUUUUGUCCCGGAAUAAACCCCUCUACGUGUAGGGGGCUGAAUGUACGGGAAGAAUAAGGGACGGCUAACUUCGUGCCAGCAGCCGCCGUAA
rnacentral:rRNA from 1 species